GCUAAGCUGUGUAGCUCAAUUCAUCUAUUAUACAAAUGUCUUCCGAUUACCUGGUGUGGGAUAUAGGGGACCUUUUCCAUGAAGGAGGACAUCAUGUUUUGAAGUUGUUGGGCCCAGUAAUUUUUGAAUCAGCAUCGGAGAAAUAGUCGUUUGCAUCUUGUUUGUAUUUUUGAAUUAUGGCUUUAUGUGAAUUAAGAUAUAUUCACAAUUUUGUAAUAGAAUUCUAUUUAAGGUCCAUGGUUUUAAAUGUAGCUUUGCUUAUGUUUCAUCCAAUUAUAUGGUUUCUUUAAGAAUGGUGCAAUAUUAUUGUUACUUUUGAUAGAUUAGAUUGUCCCACAAUGGGUAAAUCUCGGGGUAUAACAAGCAAACAUGUGGUGCAGUUGGGUUCAAGAAGUGAGGUGGGGAAAUGGUGGAGGUGCAGUGGUCAUCUAGGAUGAGGUGAAACCUCUCUUGAAAGGAAGAUUUCCCCAUGGACUACCAAAGGAUCUCGAUUGUCAAGUUCUAUUGGCUUCCUCAGAAGGGAGUAAUGAACAAAUGGAGAAAUUCUUUAAAUUGUCAUCAUGAACCAGAGUUAUGAAGUUGAAGAAGUGUUAGAACAAAGUAUAAAGCAGGGCUUAGGACUAUGCUUCAAGAUUCAGGAUGAUAUAUCUAAUUUCAGUACUCAGAAGAUAGAGGAGGCAACUUGCAGAUCAAAGAGAAGCUGAGGACAAAAGUUUAAAAUUUGCUGAUCUAUUCUAUGGUUCUUUGUGGCACCAGUUAAAUUGAUAGGACAGCGGACUAAAUCUUUAAAAGACAGGUCUUAGACAAACAUGUUGGCAUGUUUAAAUGUGGAGAGAUGGUACACACUGGCAGUGAUUAUUCUACUUUCUUUCUAGGGGAAUGCAAGGACAAUGAAAGUGAGGAAGAACAAAAUAACAUUAUACUUGAAGAAGGAGAUGGCAUAGGUGACACUGACACCGAAGGUGAAGCUCUUUUUAUUCAAAGCUCUAAUAAUGGCCAGCAGGUGGACCUUAGCCCCUCUUUUGCUCAUCAGAGAGAGAGAGCAAUUAUGGAUGCAGUUCUACCUCUUAUACAGAGCUCUAAGCUUGUUGUCAUGGGAUUCACUACAACAUAAAAGUUGACGAGAGUUCCUUUAAGUUAGGCUGGAACAACUUUGUUCGGUGGGGAACUGUGGUGAGAUUAUAGUAUAAACAUGUCAGCUGUUGGAUUCUUUGUUGGUGAUAUCCCUGACCAGUGAGUUGGGUUUGAGGUUUAUAAAUUAAUAUUUGAAUUUUCAUCUGAAACUUUAAAUCCAAAACAAAAAGGUUUUAGUUUCAGGUAAGACUAGUUUAAAUCACAGGUUGGUUUCAGAGUUUCAGUCCAGUUUAUAAACAUCUAACGAC
rnacentral:lncRNA from 1 species